GUGCCCGGCAGCCUGCGGGCAAAACGAAGAGGAACGGCACUAAAGGCGAGGAGUUAACUCGGCAGAACCUCGUCGGAAAUGCAAGGUAUUCCUUUGACACUUUCCCUGCUGAGCUGGCUCUUACUCUGACUUUACUGAGGCCCUUCUGAUCCCUGGAAGAAGCCAAUACAGUGUCAUCUAAAAAGAAAUGAACUCAAAGUUCACUUUGACUAGGCAUAUAUUAAGUUGAUGGAGUCACAACUUUCAUAUAUGCAGAAGUGGUAAAACUAAGCUUAAUAUUAAGCUCUGAACUUUAAUUUUAUUCAUUAAAAUCCUGGCACGAA